GACGAACGCUGGCGGCGUGCUUAACACAUGCAAGUCGAACGAUGAACCCGGUGCUUGCUCCGGUGGGUUAGUGGCGAACGGGUGAGUAACACGUGAGUAACCUGCCCUUGACUCUGGGAUAACUGCGGGAAACUGUAGCUAAUACCGGAUACGACCCUCGGCGGCAUCGCCAGGGGGUGGAAAGAAUUUCGGUCAAGGAUGGACUAGCGGCCUAUCAGCUAGUUGGUGAGGUAACGGCGCACCAAGGCGACGACGGGUAGCCGGCCUGGGAGGGUGACGAGCCACACUGGGACUGAGACACGGCCCAGACUACUACGGGAGGCAGCAGUGGGGAAGAUUGCACAAUGGGCGCGAGCCUGAUGCAGCAACGCCGCGUGAGGGAUGACGGCCUUCGGGUUGUAAACCUCUUUUAGUAGGGAAGAAGCGAAAGUGACGGUACCUGCAGAAAAAGCACCGGCUAACUACGUGCCAGCAGCCGCCGUAA
rnacentral:rRNA from 1 species